UGCAUAUCAUAAGCGGAAUUUUUGAAACCAACAGGGAUUGCCUUAGUAACUGCGAGUGAAGCGGCAAGAGCUCAAAUUUGAAAUCUGGCACCUUCGGUGUCCGAGUUGUAAUUUGUAGAAGCAUCUUUUGGAUUGGUCCUUGCAUAUGUUCCUUGGAACAGGACAUCAUAGAGGGUGAGAAUCCCGUUCAUGGUGGGGAAUCCAAUUCUUUGUAAAGUGCUUUCGAAGAGUCGAGUUGUUUGGGAAUGCAGCUCUAAGUGGGUGGUAAAUUCCAUCUAAAGCUAAAUAUUGGCGAGAGACCGAUAGCGAACAAGUACAGUGAUGGAAAGAUGAAAAGAACUCCGAAAGGAGAGUGAAAAAGGACGUGAAAUUGUUGAAAGGGAAGUGCUUGAGAUCAGUCUUAAGGUUUAGUGAUCAGUCUUCCUUUUGGUUGGUGCACUCACUAUUUCUUAGGCCAACAUCAGUUUUCGCGGCAGGAUAAUGACAUUGGAAUGUGGCUCUUUCGGGAGUGUUAUAGCCUUUGUUGAUACUGCCUGCUUAGACUGAGGACCGCGCUUUUGCUAGGAUGUUGGCAUAAUGAUCUUAAGCAGGUCUUGAACCCGGGACCA
rnacentral:rRNA from 1 species